rnacentral:rRNA from 11 species
UCAAAGAUGGUAAUAAUCCUGUAGUCGAAAACAUAUUCUCUCUUGAGUGGAUCCUGAGUACGACGGAGCACGUGAAAUUCCGUCGGAAUCUGGGAGGACCAUCUCCUAAGGCUAAAUACUCUCUAGUGACCGAUAGUGAACCAGUACCGUGAGGGAAAGGUGAAAAGUACCCCGGAAGGGGAGUGAAAGAGAACUUGAAACCGUGUGCUUACAAGUAGUCAGAGCCCGUUAAUGGGUGAUGGCGUGCCUUUUGUAGAAUGAACCGGCGAGUUACGAUUUGAUGCAAGGUU